ensembl:lncRNA
GGCGUCUUUGUCACAUUCAGCAGUUCAUGUUAAAUAUGUAACCAGGAAAGAAACACUAAAACUCAUCUGAACACACAUCGAGAGCUUGAGAAGAACUGAAUCCACUAACAACAGAAAAGAUCACUGAAGGAGAGAAAGGAAUGAAGAUCAUCUGGACUUUCACUCUGCUGAUGAUUCCUGGUGUGUUGAGCUCCACCACUCUGACAGCAUAUUCAGAAGAAGGGGCUGAAGUUUCCUCCACUGAAGUGAAGACGAAUGUUGUAACAGGUGAGUAACUGAGACCCUCAAACCCAUGAUGAUCUCCACCAGAGGUGGGACUUUCAAGUCACAAGCAAGUCUUCAAGUCAUAUCCCAAGUCCUCAAAGAGUUAAAGUUAAUGAGAUAAUCAGUUGACUAAUUAAAUGAUGAUUGUGCAUUGGUGAUGAACACCUGCUGUUAUUGAGAAUUACAGAGGAUCAGAUGUUGAUGUUUUAUUGGUUAAAAUUGGUACCACCAUCAUGGAGAUCAGUGUUUGCUUUAGUUGGGCUCUUGACCCUUGACUUCAGCGUUAGAUAUCUCUCUGUAACAAUAUAUAAAGCGUUAUAAAACAGGUAGGUCAAUACUGUACAGUGAGCAGAUAUUAGCUUUAUGCUGAGAUAAUAAUCAAAAGUUGGUCUGAUUACAAUAAAAAUAACAUUCUGUAUCUAUAUGUUUAGGUU